rnacentral:tRNA from 1 species
AGUGUGGUAGUACAAUGGCAGAGCUGCGGUCUCCAAAACCGCCAAUGGGGGUUCGAAUCCCUCCCACCCUGCCA